rnacentral:rRNA from 1 species
UUCGGACUGCAGCCUGCAACCCGGCUGCACGAAGCCGGAAUCGCUAGUAAUCGCAGAUCAGCAUGCUGCGGUGAAAUACGUUCCCGGGCCUUGUACACACCGCCCGUCACACCAUGGGAGCCGGUAAUACCCGAAGUCAGUAGUCCAACCUCGUGAGGACGCUGCCGAAGGUAGGAUUGGCGACUGGGGUGAAGUCGUAACAAGGUAUC